rnacentral:sRNA from 2 species
AACCUUUAGUUGGUUAAUGCUACACCAACAGCCUACACCAACACGCCAGGCUUAUUCCUGUGGAGUUAUAUAUGAGCGAUAAAAUUAUUCACCUGACUGAC